rnacentral:rRNA from 1 species
GUCUUAUUGAUAAUAAUUUUAAGUCAAUCUGCCCAAUGAUAUUAUUAUUAAAUGGCUGCAGUAUAAUUAACUGUACAAAGGUAGCAUAAUCAANUGAUUUUUAAAUGAAAUCUAGAAUGAAAGGAUUAAUGAAAUAUAUACUGUCUCAAAUAUAUAAUAUAAAUUUAAAUUUUUAAUAAAAAUGUUAAAAUUUUUUUAUGGGACGAUAAGACCCUAUAGAAUUUUAUAUAAAUUUAUCUUUAUAAUUAAUAUAAUAAUUAAAUUUAUAUUUAAUUGGGAGGAUUAUUAAAUUUAAUGAACUUUAAUUUUUAAAAACUUAAAUUAAAGAAAAAUUUAUGAUCUUUAAUUUAAAAUUAAUAGAAUAAAUUACCUUAGGGAUAACAGCGUUAUAUUUUUUUAUAGAUCUUAUAGAAAAAAAUGAUUGCGACCUCGAUGUUGAAUUAAGAUAAAUUUUUAAUGUAGAAAUUAAAUAAUUAAGUCUGUUCGACUUUUAAAAUCUUACAUGAUUUGAGUUCAAAUCGACGUAAGU